rnacentral:rRNA from 1 species
AUGGGCUUCGAGGAAAGAGGGCUAGAGGCCAUGGUAACCUUCAUAUAUCUAGAUUGCAAGGCGCCCAAGAACAAUUUCCGCCUCGGGUUCAUGCUGCGUGUUUCGGAGAGUAUAAACAUCGUCGGAACUAUAUUACAGUUCUUGCGACAGGUGACGCCUCACUUCAAGUUCACUGCCGAAAUUGUUAUCAACAAGAUCACGCAGCUCCCCUCACAACAUUUCUUCUGUGUGCCACAAGAGGUUGCGAAUUCACACCUAGAACACUGGAACCACAUCCACACAACUUUGGCUAGAUGGUUCCGCCCAGAUCCAUUAUGCUGUGAAGGAUACAAGUUGCAUCACAAUGUGCCUUUUUCUGGUGGCGGCGGUAGCCGAAACAAAUUGAGACUUUCGGCCAUGUUUCCAGAGCCAGUCUGUCAAGUGUAUUUGCAGCGUCAAAUCUCAGUAUCUGAGUACAAUAAUCUUAUGAUGAGAUCAACCGCAGCAACUGGCAAUGCGGACACAUCUACUUGUCUGGAGAACUUCCCACCUUUGAAGCUGGGGAUUCUAUUCAUGCCUCAUAACUCAUUGGAGGAUCCUGAGUCCUCAAUCGAGGGCUCUGCGAUAGAGGCAAAUCGAUGGAGAGAAGCAACACCUCACCGCUUUAAAUGUUCACUCAGACCAACUCGACGAGAUGCUUCUCCCGAAGGCGAUAGAUUAUCUUUAUCAUAA